UGGCUACAAAAUAAAAUACUCCUAUUUUGUAGCCACUUUGACUUACGAUAAUAACUAUGCUAGUUUACAAGAUUAUAAUAACUUCUUACUAAGUGGUUUUGCUAUAAUGUUACGGUAAACAUCUCCAUCUGUUAUAGUGACUCAAUUAUCGUAAAUAUGUAUACAUAUUAUCGUAAAUUAGUAUAUAAAAUUAUCGUAAAUGGAAGUGGCUACAAAAUAACUUAUUUUAUAGCUA
rnacentral:pre_miRNA from 1 species